GACGAACGCUGGCGGCGUGCUUAACACAUGCAAGUCGAACGAAAAGAGGGAAAGAGCUUGCUCUUUCCGGAAUUGAGUGGCAAACGGGUGAGUAACACGUAAACAACCUGCCUUCAGGAUGGGGACAACAGACGGAAACGACUGCUAAUACCGAAUAAGUUCCAAGAGCCGCAUGGCCCAUGGAAGAAAAGGUGGCCUCUACCUGUAAGCUAUCGCCUGAAGAGGGGUUUGCGUCUGAUUAGCUGGUUGGAGGGGUAACGGCCCACCAAGGCGACGAUCAGUAGCCGGUCUGAGAGGAUGAACGGCCACACUGGAACUGAGACACGGUCCAGACUCCUACGGGAGGCAGCAGUGGGGAAUCUUCCGCAAUGGGCGAAAGCCUGACGGAGCAACGCCGCGUGAGUGAUGACGGCCUUCGGGUUGUAAAACUCUGUGAUCCGGGACGAAAAGGCAGAGUGCGAAGAACAAACUGCAUUGACGGUACCGGAAAAGCAAGCCACGGCGAACUACGU
rnacentral:rRNA from 1 species